rnacentral:rRNA from 1 species
UCCGGAAUAGCUCUUGGAAACGGGUGGUAAUGCUGGAUGCUCCAACUUGACGCAUGUCUUGUUGGGAAAGUGUUUAGUGGCAUGGGAUGGGGUCGCGUCCUAUCAGCUUGUAGGCGGGGUAAUGGCCCACCUAGGCUUCGACGGGUAGCCGGCCUGAGAGGGCGGACGGCCACAUUGGGACUGAGAUACGGCCCAGACUCCUACGGGAGGCAGCAGCU